rnacentral:rRNA from 2 species
GUCGAACGAGUUCUCGUUGAUGAUCGGUGCUUGCACCGAGAUUCAACAUGGAACGAGUGGCGGACGGGUGAGUAACACGUGGGUAACCUGCCCUUAAGUGGGGGAUAACAUUUGGAAACAGAUGCUAAUACCGCAUAGAUCCAAGAACCGCAUGGUUCUUGGCUGAAAGAUGGCGUAAGCUAUCGCUUUUGGAUGGACCCGCGGCGUAUUAGCUAGUUGGUGAGGUAAUGGCUCACCAAGGCGAUGAUACGUAGCCGAACUGAGAGGUUGAUCGGCCACAUUGGGACUGAGACACGGCCCAAACUCCUACGGGAGGCAGCAGUAGGGAAUCUUCCACAAUGGACGCAAGUCUGAUGGAGCAACGCCGCGUGAGUGAAGAAGGCUUUCGGGUCGUAAAACUCUGUUGUUGGAGAAGAAUGGUCGGCAGAGUAACUGUUGUCGGCGUGACGGUAUCCAACCAGAAAGCCACGGCUAACUACGUGCCAGCAGCCGCGGUAAUACGUAGGUGGCAAGCGUUAUCCGGAUUUAUUGGGCGUAAAGCGAGCGCAGGCGGUUUUUUAAGUCUGAUGUGAAAGCCCUCGGCUUAACCGAGGAAGCGCAUCGGAAACUGGGAAACUUGAGUGCAGAAGAGGACAGUGGAACUCCAUGUGUAGCGGUGAAAUGCGUAGAUAUAUGGAAGAACACCAGUGGCGAAGGCGGCUGUCUGGUCUGUAACUGACGCUGAGGCUCGAAAGCAUGGGUAGCGAACAGGAUUAGAUACCCUGGUAGUCCAUGCCGUAAACGAUGAAUGCUAGGUGUUGGAGGGUUUCCGCCCUUCAGUGCCGCAGCUAACGCAUUAAGCAUUCCGCCUGGGGAGUACGACCGCAAGGUUGAAACUCAAAGGAAUUGACGGGGGCCCGCACAAGCGGUGGAGCAUGUGGUUUAAUUCGAAGCAACGCGAAGAACCUUACCAGGUCUUGACAUCUUUUGAUCACCUGAGAGAUCAGGUUU